UCCCUGGUGGUCUAGUGGUUAUGAUUCGGUGCUUUCACCACCGUAGCCUCGGUUUGAUUCCCGGUCAGGGUG